ACUACGGUUAUUCUAGGAAAUCCUUUUGGUUUCAAAAAUCACAAAAAAUGUCCAAAUUUAAUAUAUUUUUAAUAUUUUGAUUUUCAAGUAAAUCUUUAAAAUGCCAUUUAAAAUUUUUCGUUAUCCCACCACUUAUGGACACCGUGUCAAAUUACCGGGCAUUACACUUUCACAAGAAAUUUUGAGAGAGUAUGAGAAACGGGAUAUUGAAAACAGUUCGAGAACGCAGCCAAAUCAAAAUAUUAAAAAUAAAAUUAAAUGGAAACUGAUGGAGAGGUGUUGACCAUGUAAAAGAAGAAAUUUAGAGAAUAUGGUUCAACAGUUUUAUUAUCAUAAUGGAAAGAAAUCAAUAAAUAGAAUCUUUCGACUGUAACACGUGGGCUUUGAUACGGCUUUUAGGAAGAUGUUAGACGCGUUCUACGUUCUACGUUUAUGGUAAUUGUUUUCAGCAAUGCCACGCCUUUUUACGAGUAUUCUUGAAUUUUUUAGAAUUUUUAAAGCACAUCUGGAACCUUCAUUUUCUUGACUUCAAGACACCACGUUGACGACAAUUUUGUUAGCUGCUAUACCAAGCUAUAGUCGAGCUCACCAGCGCUGCUGAGAGAUCUAUUACGGAAGAUUGUGAUCUCUCGCUCUGGACAGCUCGUUAGAACACAACGUAAUAAGCCACGCAAUCUUAAUAGUUUUCAACAUAUUUUGGAUUAUAAAAAAAGUAUCUAAAAAACAUCGUUGUUUUAUUAUUUUUAUAUUUUUAUAUUUUUCUUGAUUUUCUACAUUUUCUUAUGUAUACGUUUACAAAAAUAAACAAGUCACCUAUAAACACA